ensembl:misc_RNA 7SK 7SK RNA
GGAUGUGAGGGUGAUCUAGCUGCAACACCCCAUUGUCACUUCAAUGAUCACCAGGGUUGAUGCGGCUGAUCUGGCUGGCUAGGCAGGUGUCCCCUUCCUCCCUCACUGCUCCAUGUGUGUCCCUCCCGCAGCUACGCGCUCCAUCUCUGAUAAAGGAGGACCGGUCUUCGGUCAAGGGUAUUCAAGUAGUUGUGUUCCUCUGUAGAACCUCCAAACAAGCUCUCAAGGACAAGUAACUGCUGUGAAUAUUUUCUGUUCCAUAGACACUUUGUGAGACUGUUUAUAU